rnacentral:rRNA from 1 species
AAAAUAUGAUAUAUAAACAUAAAAAAAAUAAUAGAAAUUAAAUGUAUAAUAAAAAUCAAUAAAGAUUAAUUAAUAUGUAGGUGUGGCUAUUGAUAAUAAGGUAAAAAAUUAUCAAGUGAUAAUAAAACUGAUAAAAGACCUAAAGGAAACUGUAAUUUAAAGCACUAGGUGAAUUGAAACAUCUUAGUAACCUAAGGAAAAGAAAUCAACAGAGAUUCUAUGAGUAUUGGUGAGAGAAAAUAGAAUAGCUUAAAUAAGUAAAUUGUAAACUAACGAUUGAAUAAUGGGAUAACUAAUCCUAAAGCUAAAUAUUAUCAAUAAGCUUUAACUAGUACCGAAAGGGAAUUCUACUAUAUUAGUGAAAUCAUGAGCAAUAAGAGAUCUUUAAUAAAAAAAGAUUGAUUAUGUACCUUUUGUAUAAUGGGUUAGCAAGUUAUAAUUAUUAGCAAAACUAAAGAAUAAAUUAGUUAUAAGGAAACUGUAAAAAAUAAUUUAAAUAAAAAUAAAUUAUUAAAAGUUAAUAGUUAUAGACCCGAAAGUAGAUGAUCUUAUCAUCGCCAAGUGGUUUAUUUAUUAUGAUUUAAUAGAUUAUAAUAAAGUUAAUCGACUGAACAAGUUAAUGUUGCAAUAUUAUUUGAUGAGCGAUGAUAAGCAGUGAAAGACAAAUCUGAUCUACAGAUAGCUGGUUUUUUGUGAAAUAUAUCUUAGUAUAGCAUUAUUAUAGUAACCAGGAGGUAAAGCAAUUAAUCAUAAUUGGGGUCUUUUGAUUAAGAUUAUCAAUAUGAUUUAAUCUCAUAAAUCUCUUGCGAUUACGAUAUAAUAAUAGUCAGACUAUUGGCGAUAAGGUUUAUAGUCAAAAGGGAAACAGCCCAGAUUAACAGGUAAAGUUCCAAAUUUUAUUAAAAAUAUUGACUAAGUGUAAUUAAUAUAGAUCACCUCUAUAACAACUACGAGAUGGGUUUGACAGUAAUCUAUUCUAUGAUCAACGUGUAUCAACGGACUAGUCAUGAAUUAAUUAUUACUUUUUUAGUAAUAUAUUAAUAAAGAGGGAUUAUUAUAGACAAUAAUCGGAACUUAAUUUUUAGAAGUAUAAAACUGAACCUGUAAAUAUUAAUAGUUAGUUUAAUUAAAUUAUUAAUAUGGUAACAAAACAUUCAAUGAAUAAAUAUCUUAAUUAAAUUAAGGUAAUUUCUAACUAUCUUUUUUAAUAGAUAGAAAUAUAAACAAUUGAAUAGAGAAUGCUGACAUGAGUAACGACUAAGGGGCUAAUCCCCUUCACUUUAAGUAUGAGGUUUUAAUAAAAAAUCGGUCCCUAAGAUUUAUAUUGAAAGGUAUGAAUUAAUAGGAAAUUAAUAAUGAAAAGAAAGACUAAUAAGGUUUUAAACAAUAAUUAGUACUGGAAAACCUUUUCAUAAUAAUACCGUAAUAAAACCGACACAGGUAUACGAAAGUAGAAAAGAAAGUGAAUAAGAUAACCUCAUUUAAUGAACUCGGCAAAACAUAUUUCUUACGUUAGUCAAAAGGAAAUAAUAAAGUACAUAUCGUGCGACUGUUUACUAAAAACACAGCACUUUGCAAAAACAAAUCGUUGUAGUAUAAAGUGUGAAUUCUGCCCAAUGCUUAAUAAUAAGAUAUUUUAUUGAAAGAUAAGGUAUUCAAAAGUUAAGUCAAUGGCGGCUUUAUAAUGAGAGUCAUAAUGUAGCGAAAUGCUGUCUACUAAUUAUAGUCCCGCAUGAAUGGAGUAACGAUGCGAUAACUGUAUCAAAUGAGGUCUUAGUGAAAUUGAAUUAGCGGUGAAGAUGCCGUUUACCUAAAGUUAGACGAGAACCCUAUGCAGCUUUACUGUAGGCUAAUUAGUUGUACCUAUUUUACUCAUCUUUUAGCAUAUCAAGUAAUAUAUUGAUAUAACAAUGAAAUACUUGAAUUUGAGAUUAUAGCUACUUAUCUAGAUAAAAUUUAAUUGAUAAUUUUAAAUUCUUAAAUAUGUAAAUUCUGGAGACAGCUUUAGUCUGACAGUUUAAAUGGGGCGUUGAUUUCAUAAAAUGUAACUGAAUAUGUCCAUUUACUAUUUUUAUAAAAAUUUAUUCUAAUAAUUAAUGAGAUAAUCAUUAAUAUUGUUAAAAAUAACGUUGUUAUUAAAAGAGAAUAAACCAUGUAUAGUUAAUCUGAAAGUGAAAUCAGAUAGAGUAAAUGUUAAUCAUUUACUAUAAAGGAAGUAUAAUAGUAUAACUAUGCAAUAAAUUUUGACAUACAAGUCGAAAUUUUACGUAAGUAUGGUAUAGUGAACAGGCCAUUUUUAUUGUACAAGUGGUCGAUAACGGAUAAAAGCUACGCUAGGGAUAACAGCAUGGUAACGCGAGAGAGUAGAUAUUGUCAGCGUUGUUCGUGACCUCGAUAAGUUAGUCGAUGUCGAGUAUAAAUUGGGUGAAUUAAAAUUAUUGAAAUUAAAUUUAAAUGAUUUAAUAAUAACAUAAUAUGGUCGACUCAACCUAUCCUAUUGGUCGUAGAAGCUAAUAAGGGUUUGACUGUUCGUCAAUUAAAAGGUUACGUGAGUUGGGUUAAUGUAUUAAGCCCCUUUAUUUUGUAAAAAAUAUCGAAAACUGACUAAAAUAAUUGUUAAUAAUUUGUUAAUACGUCGUAAGACAGUAUGGUUUCUAUCUUCUUUAGGACUAGUUAAUAGAAUUAUGUACCUUAGUACGAAAGGAUUGGGUAUUAUUAAUCAAUGAUUGGACUGUUAUUAUUCAUUUUAUAAAGUCUUUUUAGACUUAAUAUUAUAUAUCAUAUAUAUAAUAUAUAUAAUACCUAUAUUGUUUAAUAUGAAUAGUAUGCAGUUAAGUUAAAUUAGUUUAUUUUAAGCAUUGAAAGCAUUUCAAAUGUGAAAUUAAAUU